UACGAGGGGGGCGAGCGUUGUUCAGAAUCACUGGGCGUAAAGCGUGCGUAGGCGGUUAUAUAAGUUAGGGGUGAAAGCCCCAGGCUCAACUUGGGAAUUGCUCUUAAUACUGUAUAACUCGAAUCUCGGAGAGGAUAGCGGAAUUGUCAGUGUAGCAGUGAAAUGCGUAGAUAUUGACAGGAACACCAGUGGCGUAAGCGGCUAUCUGGACGAGUAUUGACGCUGAGGCACGAAAGCGUGGGGAUCAAACAGG
rnacentral:rRNA from 1 species